GGAGCAGAUGGGUGCUGGUGUGUCCCCUGGUCUUCAAAACCAGUGUGGGGUAUUGGGUUAUCCCGGGUGGGUUCGAUUCCCACAUGCUC
rnacentral:tRNA from 1 species